rnacentral:rRNA from 1 species
GACGAACGCUGGCGGCGGGCUUAACACAUGCAAGUCGAACGGAAAGGCCCUGCUUUUGGGGGGUGCUCGAGUUGCGAACGGGGGAGUAACCCGUGUGUAACCUGCCGUUGACUUUGGGAUAACUUCAGGAAACUGGGGCUAAUACCGGGUAGGAGCUCCUGCUGAAUGGUGGGGGUUGGAAAGUUUCGGCGGUUGGGGAUGGACUCGCGCCUUAUCAGCUUGUUGGUGUGGUAGUGGCUUAGCAAGCCUUUGACGGGUAGCAUGGCUGAGAGGGUGACAGGCCACAUUGGGCCUGAGCUACGGCCCGGCCUCCUCCGGGACGCAGCAGUGCAGAAUAUUGCACUAUGGGCGGAAGCCUGCUCCAGCCACGCCGCGUCGGGGAUGACGGCCAUCGCUUUGUAUUCCGCUUCCGUCUGUGCUGAGGCGUGAGUGACGGUAAUGGGUAAAGAAGCACCGGCUAACUACGUG